AGAGUUUGAUCCUGGCUCAGGACGAACGCUGGCGGCGCGCCUAACACAUGCAAGUCGAACGAAGUCAAGAGGAGCUUGCUCUUUUUGACUUAGUGGCGAACGGGUGAGUAACGCGUGAGGAACCUGCCUCAAAGAGGGGGACAACAGUUGGAAACGACUGCUAAUACCGCAUAAGCCCACAGCUCCGCAUGGAGCAGAGGGAAAAGGAGCAAUCCGCUUUGAGAUGGCCUCGCGUCCGAUUAGCUAGUUGGUGAGGUAACGGCCCACCAAGGCGACGAUCGGUAGCCGGACUGAGAGGUUGAUCGGCCACAUUGGGACUGAGACACGGCCCAGACUCCUACGGGAGGCAGCAGUGGGGAAUAUUGCACAAUGGGGGAAACCCUGAUGCAGCGACGCCGCGUGGAGGAAGAAGGUCUUCGGAUUGUAAACUCCUGUUGUUGGGGAAGAUAAUGACGGUACCCAACAAGGAAGUGACGGCUAACUACGUGCCAGCAGCCGCGGUAAAACGUAGGUCACAAGCGUUGUCCGGAAUUACUGGGUGUAAAGGGAGCGCAGGCGGGAAGACAAGUUGGAAGUGAAAUCUAUGGGCUCAACCCAUAAACUGCUUUCAAAACUGUUUUUCUUGAGUAGUGCAGAGGUAGGCGGAAUUCCCGGUGUAGCGGUGGAAUGCGUAGAUAUCGGGAGGAACACCAGUGGCGAAGGCGGCCUACUGGGCACCAACUGACGCUGAGGCUCGAAAGUGUGGGUAGCAAACAGGAUUAGAUACCCUGGUAGUCCACACUGUAAACGAUGAUUACUAGGUGUUGGGGGAUUGACCCCCUCAGUGCCGCAGUUAACACAAUAAGUAAUCCACCUGGGGAGUACGACCGCAAGGUUGAAACUCAAAGGAAUUGACGGGGGCCCGCACAAGCAGUGGAGUAUGUGGUUUAAUUCGACGCAACGCGAAGAACCUUA
rnacentral:rRNA from 1 species